GGACUGCCACUAGUUUGAGGCCAACUUGAAGUACAAUGCAAGAUCCUGUCUCCAUUUAAAAAAAAAAAAAAUCAGUCUCUAAGGAGUAGGGGAUGGUGUUAAAAUCAGUGCUGUCUGUGCUGGGCACUGGAGUGGACAUAGCUCUGCCCUCAAAGUAAAGCUCACAGACCAAUAAAACAAAAAUCAGCAACAACUUUGUGCUGUAUCUUUGGGAAAUGGUAAUAAGUCCGAAAGGAGUUGGCUCUCAAGGAUUUCUGAGAACCUAGCUUUCACUGUCAUGUCCAAGGUUCCCAUCACAUUUUUUCUUAAUAAAGGAACAUUUCAGAGAUGAUGUCUCUUGAGUUACUUAGUCACCCCUGGACUCUGUGUCUUUCUUCAAUGAGGCAACAACCGAAGUGUACAAUUACACAAGUCCCUUUGCAGCCAGGGUCACCUGCAUCGCGGCUUUUUCCCAGCCCUCACCUGCAGAUUCCUUGAGUUAUCUGUGCACAGCCUGUCAUUCUGAAGAGACUCAGCCUGUUUGUGCCCUGUACUUAAGCUGAGGUAACAAAGUGUGAUUACCUCCCCCAUAGACUCCAUGCUGCCUCCCUUUGGCACAGUGGGUAAGGGGCAGAGGGAAAGAGCAACAGAGGCUAGGCAGAGGAGUGGGGGUGGGAAGGACCUUGGCCUCUUUCUGUGCUUAAACUGGAUCGUGACUCAGUCUGUGAGUCACUCAGCUCCACCUCCCUGCCCAGCCACCCCUCCCGACAGCCUUCAGUCCUGGCUCAAACCUGCAACCGGAGCAGGAUUCUGAAGAUGGAAAAUCUGAUACAGCCUCCCCACCUCCUCUCAUCCAGGAAACGUCUCCUGGGCUGUGCUGGGUGGAGAGAGAAGGAGGCUCUCGAGUGGAGUGGUGGCGAGAUGGAAAGUGGAUACCAUACUGCAGUGUUAAGAUCGUGGCGCAUACAUUCUCCUGUGCUGUUAUUUUACAGCAUCCUGGGACUUAGCUUGUCUCCCUAGGACGCUGCCGCAGCGGUGAGAUACGUGUUCCGGUCCGGCUCCCCGGCUCACAGUGUCUUCGGUAUUCCCACAGUACCCUCCCGGACAGGGCUUCAGAGCUGAGGCCGGAAGGGCGUGUGUGCUGGGGGGUGGGGCGUGGAGCUGAAUGUCACUUUGGAAAGGGGCCCCCCCAUCUAAAGAUUGUUGCCUUUGUACAGACUCAAACACAAUAAAACAGCAGGUCGUUAGAUCUUA